UACGUAGGGGGCGAGCGUUGUCCGGAUUCAUUGGGCGUAAAGCGCGCGUAGGCGGCCCCGCAAGUCGGCCGUGAAAUCUCCGGGCUCAACCUCGGGCCUGCAGUGGGUACGGGCAGACUAGAGUGCGGUAGGGGAGAUUGGAAUUCCUGGUGUAGCGGUGGAAUGCGCAGAUAUCAGGAGGAACACCAAUGGCGAAGGCAGAUCUCUGGGCCGUAACUGACGCUGAGGAGCGAAAGCAUGGGGAGCGAACAGG
rnacentral:rRNA from 1 species